rnacentral:rRNA from 1 species
CGGGUCUUUGGGCCCAACCUCCCAUCCGUGUCUAUUGUACCCUGUUGCUUCGGCGGGCCCGCCGCUUGUCGGCCGCCGGGGGGGCGCCUCUGCCCCCCGGGCCCGUGCCCGCCGGAGACCCCAACACGAACACUGUCUGAAAGCGUGCAGUCUGAGUUGAUUGAAUGCAAUCAGUUAAAACUUUCAACAAUGGAUCUCUUGGUUCCGGCAUCGAUGAAGAACGCAGCGAAAUGCGAUAACUAAUGUGAAUUGCAGAAUUCAGUGAAUCAUCGAGUCUUUGAACGCACAUUGCGCCCCCUGGUAUUCCGGGGGGCAUGCCUGUCCGAGCGUCAUUGCUGCCCUCAAGCCCGGCUUGUGUGUUGGGUCGCCGUCCCCCUCUCCGGGGGGACGGGCCCGAAAGGCAGCGGCGGCACCGCGUCCGAUCCUCGAGCGUAUGGGGCUUUGUCACAUGCUCUGUAGGAUUGGCCGGCGCCUGCCGACGUUUUCCAACCAUUCUUUCCAGGUUGACCUCGGAUCAGGUAGGGAUACCCGCUGAACUUAAGCAUAUCAA